rnacentral:rRNA from 1 species
GAACGCUGGCGGCAUGCUUUACACAUGCAAGUCGAACGGUAACAGGCCUUCGGGCGCUGACGAGUGGCGAACGGGUGAGUAAUGCAUCGGAACGUGCCCAGUCGUGGGGGAUAACGCAGCGAAAGCUGUGCUAAUACCGCAUACGAUCUAUGGAUGAAAGCGGGGGAUCGCAAGACCUCGCGCGAUUGGAGCGGCCGAUGUCAGAUUAGCUAGUUGGUGGGGUAAAGGCCCACCAAGCCGACGAUCUGUAGCUGGUCUGAGAGGACGACCAGCCACACUGGGACUGAGACACGGCCCAGACUCCUACGGGAGGCAGCAGUGGGGAAUUUUGGACAAUGGGCGAAAGCCUGAUCCAGCCAUGCCGCGUGCAGGAUGAAGGCCUUCGGGUUGUAAACUGCUUUUGUACGGAACGAAAAGACUCUGGUUAAUACCUGGGGUCCAUGACGGUACCGUAAGAAUAAGCACCGGCUAACUACGUG